rnacentral:tRNA from 1 species
AAGGGUAUAGCUCAGCCAUAGAGGGCGUGCCUAGCAUGCACAAGGUCCUGGGUUCAAUCCCUAGUACCUCCA